UACGAAGGGGGCUAGCGUUGCUCGGAAUCACUGGGCGUAAAGGGUGCGUAGGCGGGUCUUUAAGUCAGGGGUGAAAUCCUGGAGCUCAACUCCAGAACUGCCUUUGAUACUGAAGAUCUUGAGUUCGGGAGAGGUGAGUGGAACUGCGAGUGUAGAGGUGAAAUUCGUAGAUAUUCGCAAGAACACCAGUGGCGAAGGCGAGUCUCUGGGAUGAUGCUGACGCUGAGGCGCGAAAGCCAGGGGAGCAAACGGG
rnacentral:rRNA from 1 species